AGUAACGCGUGAGUAACCUGCCCUACACACUGGGAUAGCCAUUGGAAACGAUGAUUAAUACCGGAUAACACAUUUUUAACACAUGUUAUAAAUGUCAAAGAUUUAUCGGUGUAGGAUGGACUCGCGUCUGAUUAGCUAGUUGGUAAGGUAACGGCUUACCAAGGCAACGAUCAGUAGCCGACCUGAGAGGGUGAUCGGCCACACUGGAACUGAGACACGGUCCAGACUCC
rnacentral:rRNA from 1 species